UCAUUAACAUUCACUUGCCACCUGGCUUCCCUCCUUGGGGGUUGCACACACAUCUGGCACAAACAGCAGGCCCGAGCGCGCUCCGUCUGAGGUCUCUGGAGGACCUCAGGAGAAUAUUCAUCAGCUUUCCGCCCUGUCUCUCCUCAGGGUCCUGGGCUCCACUGAUUGGUCCCGCCGGGGAGGGGUCAUUAGUCACCGCAGCUGGUGCUGAUGUCACCGGGGCAGGCUCCGCCUGGUUCUGCUGCUUCCCUGGGCUUGGCGCUGAUACACAGCUGAGGCCUAGCUGCCAUCUCCAGGGGCUACUGCUUACAGGGAGUGUCCUGCCAAGGCUUGUAGUAAUGCCGGUUGUUAGGCACCCGGGACCCUCUGCACCUGGCCCCUCCUUCCUGCUCUGCUCAUGCCUCCCUAACUGGCCGCUACACCUGCACAGGCAGCCUUAUCAGGAGCAAAGAUCAAGAAUAAACCCGGGCAGGGGCAGGGGGAGAGAGCCGGGCCAUGUCGCCACGGGCAGUGCCCUGGCCUGAACCAGGGGCCAGCUGGCCAGGAGGCGAGGGCAGCGGUGGCUUUGGGUCAGCGCCUGGGCGUCGCGGGAAGGACCCACAGGCAGGUAAUGGCCGCCGUGGGGGCGGGAGGCGUCCAUCUCCGCGCUUGGCGUCAGCGGGCCACUUGUGCUUCGGGCGCACUUACUGGUUUCUGGGCGCGGCACCUGCUCCCGGCCUGUCCCUCGCCCCUGGGUUUCGGGAGCGAACCCGUCCGGGACAGACAGCCGGAGGCCUCCGCGCUCAUCGCUGUUACCCCAGAACCUGGCACGGGUUGGGGUGCAGGCAGGGAUGGUGGCCUGGAGCUCCCCGCCCCUCCCCGAGGCCCGCCCACCAAGCUCUCGCCCCACAGGUGUUCCUAGGACGCCAUCCGAGGGCGGGGCCCUGAGCCGGGCGCUGGCGACGCCAGAGACGGACCGGGGUCCGAGUCCCGUCCGCUGAGCGCGAGUAGGACCCCAGCCCGCCGGUCCGGCUGCGUGGGGUGGCGCGGCCCGCGGAGGGCCCCGCGCUCGCCACCGCCUGCGCCGCGCGCCCGCGGAGU